rnacentral:lncRNA from 1 species
GAAACCCCAUUUUGCCAACGGCACCCAGAGCUCAAAAACGCAACCCAAGCAGUCCAAGUGAGCCGCAUCCCCUGUCUCCACCCAGCGGAGCACGGAGGAGCUGGCCGUGUAAAAAUCCAUGCUUGAGGAUUUGACGAACUCUUGGAAAGUAUUUUCUGCUUCCUGUGGAAGCAUUUUGCUGAUGCUUGAAGAAGUGGCAGCCAGUUGGCGAGAGAUCAGAAUGGUCGACACUGACUUCUUCAGCAACUUCUCAUGCAGUUGUAAGAGGAUCAGCUUUGAUGACUGCUCUCCAUUGAUCGUUGUCAACUUCUAAUGACUAGCCACUAUGCUCCUCAACUUCAAGGCGCUCGUCCCCUUUGCAAAACUUCUUGAACCACCAUUGCACAGUACUUCAUUAGUAGUUCCUGAGCCAAAUGCAUUGUUGAUGUUGCAAGCUGUCUCUGCUAUUUUAUGACCCAUUUUGAACUCGAACAAAAGAAUUGGGAAUUUGGGUUUUGUCUCACAUCAUUUCUAUAGUCUAAAAUAAAUAUAAAAUAAAC